rnacentral:rRNA from 1 species
GACGAACGCUGGCGGCGUGCCUAAUACAUGCAAGUCGAACGCAGUGGGGACGGGUGAGUAACACGUGGGUAACCUCCCAUCAGAGGGGAUAACCCUUGGCAACAGGUGCUAAACCGGUACUGAUGGAUGGACCCGGGGUGCAUUAGCUAGUUGGUGGGGUAACGGCUCACCAAGGCCACGAUGCAUAGCCGGCCUGAGAGGGUGACCGGCCACACUGGGACUGAGACACGGCCCAGACUCCUACGGGAGGCAGCAGUAGGGAAUCUUGGGCAAUGGACGAAAGCCUGACCGAGCCACGCCGCGUGUGUGAAGAAGGUUUUCGGGUCGUAAAGCUCUGUUGUUAGAGAAGCGGUAUCUAACCAGAAAGCCCCGGCUAACUACGUGCCAGCAGCCGCGGUAAUUC